UACGGUAGGGUCCGAGCGUUGUCCGGAAUUACUGGGCGUAAAGAGCUCGUAGGUGGUUUGUCGCGUUGUUCGUGAAAACUCACAACUCAAUUGUGGGCGUGCGGGCGAUACGGGCAGACUGGAGUACUGCAGGGGAGACUGGAAUUCCUGGUGUAGCGGUGGAAUGCGCAGAUAUCAGGAGGAACACCGGUGGCGAAGGCGGGUCUCUGGGCAGUAACUGACGCUGAGGAGCGAAAGCGUGGGGAGCGAACAGG
rnacentral:rRNA from 1 species